UAUGGCUGUCAAACGUGGAGAAAUUUGUAAAUAAACAACAAACUUUAUAAAUUUAUAGUGAAAUUAUUAAAUUACAGAGGUUAACAGUUUAAAAUAAAAGCAUGAGUAAAAAGGUUCUUUCAAAGAUUACAACCGUUGGAAGUCUGCAGUUUUUUCUGUUAACGACGAUACCAGUGGAAAAAGAAGAUGGUUUUAGCUUGUUACUAACGGAUGGACAAUCAACAUGGACAGGAACUUUUUCAGUUAGGAUGUAUAACUCUAAUGUUAAAAGAUGACCCAGGGACUGGUAUAUGUACGAUAUUAAAUCAUAGCGUAGUCAACAGUGAACGAGAUCAACAUCAACUUAAACAGCUAGAAACAGAUAAUAACAGACUGUCACAAGAACGGAUGAUGGCGUUAAAGUUUAAAAUAAAAGCAUGAGUAAAAGGUUCUUUCAAAGAUUACAACCGAUGGAAGUGAGCAGUUUUUUCUGUUAACGACGAUACCAGUGGAUAAAGAAGAUGGUUUUAACUUGUUACUAACGGAUGGACAAUCAACAUGGACAGGAACUUUUACAGCUGAUAAUAUGGACAAACAGCGUAAAAGGUUAAAAAUGGAUUUUACCUCGUAUUUUAAUCAAACAGAAAAAGCCUUCAUCAAAGAUGAUGAUGAAGUGAAUUUUGAAUACAGUGUUAAAAUUAAAAAUGAUGAUACGGCUGAAUUGGUGUGGAAAAAACACGUCACCUCAGAUGAUAUUAAGUUUCAGUUAGGAUGUAUAACUCUAAUGUUAAAAGAUGACCCAGGGACUGGUAAAUGUACGAUAUUAAAUCAUAGCGUAGUCAACAGUGAACGAGAUCAACAUCAACUUAAACAGCUAGAAACAGAUAAUAACAGACUGUCACAAGAACGGAUGAUGACGUUAAAGGUGCUUGAUAACUAAAAGAGCGCUGACCAUAGGAGACUAGUUGAACAGUUUUGGGCUUUAAAAGUAGUUUAUCUGAUGUACGUAAUGUUCGGCCAGGUGUAUAAAGUUCUAAAAGAUCUGAGAGGUAAACAGGAGCUAAAUUAUUUAAACAUUUAAAAAGGCUAGAAAAAUGUAUUGCUGCAAAAGAAGAAAUGGAAAAAGAUUUAUUUUCAAAGUUUGUGGCCAUAUUAAAUAGUAAAAAAGAAAAAAUAAGAAAUUUAAAAGAAAAUGGUUCAGGUGAUGAUAAUGAGAAAGAUGAUGGAACAUCAGUGUCACAGUCGAAUUCUACUCGAAAUGGUAGACAAAACAGAGAAUAACGGGUUGAAACAAAUAAAGAAGAAAGGUAAAUAAACCUUAAUUAUUGAACACCUGACCGAAAUGGAAGACAAAACAGAGAACAACAGGUUGAAACAAAUAAAGAAGAAAGGUAAAUAAACCUUAAUUAUUGAACACCUGACCGAAAUGGAAGACAAAACAGAGAACAACAGGUUGAAACAAAUAAAGAAGAAAGCGAUAAAGAAGAAAAUACAGAUGAGGAAGAGACGCCACCACCUAAACGUCAGAGAAAGAAUGUAGGCCGUAAAACUGGUGAUCUAGAUUCAUCGUUAGAUUUAGGGGAUGACGAGAUUACAUCAUCAUCUUCUACGAUAGUUAAAAGGUCAGCUAGAAAGAGAGGAAGUGUAAGAACAGCGACACCAAGUAAACCUAUUUUACCUAAAAUAACUAGAAAUACGUCCAAUGAGAGCUAUGAUGGUGGUCGAGGUCGGAUGAGUAAAAGUAGUUCUAAUAAUUCUAAUGUAUCUAAUAUAGAUCCUGAAGAUUUGUUCAGUGUUUUGUAGACUUAUUUAUCAGACAGAAUAGUACAUAACUGUUUGUAUCUGGUUUAUUUAUCAGACAUUUCAAUCAGUUUCUAAUGUGCUUGAUACUGAAAUUUGAGAGAACAACUGUAAUAAUAGGAGGUAGCCAUUGUUUACGAUUCAGACAUAAUGUUGUGUAUUAAUUGUAUAAUUUGUAUAUAAUACAGGCAUAAUGUUGUGUAUUAAACAUAACCUAAUAUUGUAUAUAUCACAUGAAUAUACUACUGCUAAUAUAAUAGAAUAUAUUGUA